GAUGAACGCUGGCGGCAUGCCUAACACAUGCAAGUCGAACGAAAGGCGGACGGGUGAGUAAUUUCUUGGAAACUGCCUGACGUAGGGGGAAAACUGCGGUAAACGGUGGCAAAUACCGCAUACAAUCAGAUGUGCCCAGAUGGGUUUAGCUUGUUGGUGGGGUAACGGCUCACCAAGGCGACGAUCCCUAGCUGGUCUGAGAGGAUGACCGGCCACACUGGAACUGAGACACGGUCCAGACUCCUACGGGAGGCAGCAGUGGGGAAUAUUGCACAAUGGGCGCAAGUCUGACGCAGCAAUGCCGCGUGUAUGAAGAAGGCCUUCGGGUUGUAAAGUACUUUUAGCGGGGAGGCGGUACCCGAAGAAGAAGCACCGGCUAACUCCGUGCCAGCAGCCGCGGUAAUAC
rnacentral:rRNA from 1 species